rnacentral:rRNA from 1 species
GACUGCGAGCGUGACGGCGCGAGCAGGUGCGAAAGCAGGUCAUAGUGAUCCGGUGGUUCUGAAUGGAAGGGCCAUCGCUCAACGGAUAAAAGGUACUCCGGGGAUAACAGGCUGAUACCGCCCAAGAGUUCAUAUCGACGGCGGUGUUUGGCACCUCGAUGUCGGCUCAUCACAUCCUGGGGCUGAAGUAGGUCCCAAGGGUAUGGCUGUUCGCCAUUUAAAGUGGUACGCGAGCUGGGUUUAGAACGUCGUGAGACAGUUCGGUCCCUAUCUGCCGUGGGCGCUGGAGAACUGAGGGGGGCUGCUCCUAGUACGAGAGGACCGGAGUGGACGCAUCACUGGUGUUCGGGUUGUCAUGCCAAUGGCACUGCCCGGUAGCUAAAUGCGGAAGAGAUAAGUGCUGAAAGCAUCUAAGCACGAAACUUGCCCCGAGAUGAGUUCUCCCUGACUCCUUGAGAGUCCUGAAGGAACGUUGAAGACGACGACGUUGAUAGGCCGGGUGUGUAAGCGCAGCGAUGCGUUGAGCUAACCGGUACUAAUGAACCGUGAGGCUUAACCUUACAACGCCGAAGAUGUUUUG